rnacentral:lncRNA from 1 species
AUGCUCAGUGGCAGCAGGGUUGCAUUUUUUUCACUAAAAACGUUUUUAAGCUGCAGCCCCUUGCUGGGGGGGGAGAGCCUCGUGCUGUGCGCAGCCCCCCAGCACCACCCAUCCCUGCGGCUCGGGGGGGGUGACCCUAAGGGAACCCCAAAAAACAUGGGGCCAAACCUAGGGGGGUGCAGGGGGCUGGGGCAGAGCCCUGCACCCCCCCAGCCCCAAGGAGCCGCAUCACCGAGGGGGGGGGCUGCUGCCGGGGGCGUUUUUCAGACGCCCACCGGGAGGGGGCUCGGGGUGGGGGGCCCCAGCAGCCGCCGCCGCCCCCGGCCUUUGUUCGGGGGGGCUCCAACGCCGCCAGGGGGCGCCCGGGGAGUGCGAGGGGGGGGCCGGGAGCGCGGAGAGCCCGAACGGCUCCGGGGGCAUCGGAGGGGGCUCGGGGAGGGGGCUGGGGCUGGGGGCUGGGGGCUUUCCCCUGCUCCCCUACCUUCUCGUGUCCCCCCCCAUCUUUCCCCAUCUCUCCAUUUUUCCCCUGCUCCCCAUUUUUCCCCUGCUCCCCAGCUCCCCCCCCGUUCCCCCACCUUCCCCUACUCCCCCGUUUUCCCCUUCUCCCCCUUUCCCCUGCUCCAUUUUUCCCCAAUUCCCCAAAUUUCCUCCAAUUUUCCCCAUUCCCUCACUCUCCCCUCCAUUCCCCCACCUUCUUUUCUGCUCCCCAUCUUUCCCCAUCUCCCCACCUCCCCCUUCUCCCCUUUUCCCCUGUUCCAUUUUUCCCCAAUUUCCCCAAUUUCCCCAGCUCCUCACCCAACCGGGGACACCGUGGGGGGCAAAAAAAAAAAAACCCCGAGGGCACAGCGAGGAAGAGGAAGAAGGAGCAGGAAAGCGAGGAGCUGGGGCUGGCAGCCAGCCUGGGGAGGGUCCCAGCCCGGAGGGGGGGUCCCCAGCCCAUCCCCAGUGCCCCCAGUGCCCCCGUGCCCUGGAGCAGAGCUGCGCCCCGGCCCCCUCCCCGCUGCGGCAGGAGGAAGCGGCCGUGUGCAGCCUUUCCCGAGGAUGAGGAUUUCCUUCCUCCCAUUCAGCGGGGACCCUGGGGUUAGCACGCAGCCCUGGGGGCACCUCAGCCCGCAGGAGGAGGGGGUCCGGCUGUGGGGCACCCCCCCGGGAGCAGCUCCCACUGGGACCCCCCUUUUCUUGUCCCCCCUGCCCGGCCGGGACCCCCGCAGCCUCCCCAGGGUUUGGGACUGGGCAGCUGGCGGUACGGGGGUGUGGAAGGAGCCCUGCAACCAUUUUCUUCUCUUUUUCCAUGGUUUUCCCCCCAUUCUGCUCGCUGUGGAUAUUUGGGGACACGGCCCAGCGCAACAUCCCCGGGGUGGCCAGGCUGGGGGUGGCCGAGCUGCAGCAAACAAAGCCACAAUUUUGGGGCUCCCAACUGCCCUGGGAUCAGCAACACGACCCCCCAGCUCCGUGCAGAGCCCCCCCCAGCCCCAGGGGUGCCUGCACCCCAAUGCGUCCCAGCCCCUUCCCACAGGGCGAGCGCGUCCCCAGCAAGGCCCCGCAGCUGGGAAGGGCGGCGGGGAGCUGGGGGGGGGGGUCGGGGGGGGCACUUCUCCUUUCCCUUGA